CAAGAGCGUAUGUAAAAGUUGUUGCAGUUAAAAAGCUCGUAGUUGAACCUUGGGUUUGGUUGGCCGGUCCGCUUUUUUGCGAGUACUGGAUUCAACCGAGCCUUUCCUUCUGGCUAACCAGUCGUUUCGGCGGCUGGCGAACCAGGAUUUUUACUUUGAGAAAAUUAGAGUGUUCAAAGCAGGCAUUAGCUUGAAUAUAUUAGCAUGGAAUAAUAGAAUAGGACGUUAUGGUUCUAUUUUGUUGGUUUAUAGGACCAUCGUAAUGAUUAAUAGGGACGGUCGGGGGCAUCAGUAUUCAGUUGUCAGAGGUGAAAUUCUUGGAUUUACUGAAGACUAACUACUGCGAAAGCAUUUGCCAAGGACGUUUUCAUUAA
rnacentral:rRNA from 1 species